UGAGGAAUAUUGCGCAAUGGAGGAAACUCUGACGCAGCGACGCCUCGUGAACGACGAAGUCCUUCGGGAUGUAAAGUUCUGUCAGUGGGGACGAAUAAAUGACGGUACCCACAGAGGAAGCACCGGCUAACUACGUGCCAGCAGCCGCGGUAAUACGUAGGGUGCGAGCGUUAUCCGGAAUUAUUGGGCGUAAAGGGUGCGUAGGCGGUUGGGUAAGUUAGAUGUGAAAGCCAUAGGCUUAACUUGUGGUCGCGUCUAAAACUGCUCAGCUAGAGUAUGCUAGAGGAAAGCGGAACUCAUGGUGUAGCGGUGAAAUGCGUAGAUAUCAUGAGGAACACCAGUAGCGAAGGCGGCUUUCUGGGGCAUUACUGACGCUGAAGCACGAAAGCGUGGGGAGCAAACAGG
rnacentral:rRNA from 1 species